UAUAAAGUUGUAUUUGACUUUUUAAAAAAUCUGGUCGUACUAAAUAAUUGUUUUUGCACUGUUAGAGAUUAACUUAAAUGAUUGGACACUGGUCAUUAUAAAUGUGUCAGAUGCAUGAAUAAUCAUUUUUUAUAAAGAUACUUAAUCCACAUUGACUAGAGGUAUAGGGGAAGGUUAAUUUCUCACUUAACAUGUUUAACCCAGUCAAAUGUAGAACCUGUACGAAGACAGGAACCUGUACAAGUGUUUUUUUUCAAUUAUGGUUUAUCUGUAUGUUUCAGAGUUAAGUGUGGGGUCUUUUUUGCUGAAAUUGUAUACAUUGUUGUUUAGGGGUAAGCUGAAGCCUGCCUGCAGAUGCAAGAUUGUUUUUCUGCAUUAAAGACUCAUUGUUGGCCUUGUGAUGUUUUUUCUGAGGUCAGCUUGUCCCUGAACAGAUCCCAUUUCCAUUCCCUAUUCUAUAUCAUGUACAUGUAUAUUGUGGUAUGAAUAACUGCAACAGUAGUAUACGUACUUGUGUUUAAAAGUCAAAAAUAGUUGAUAUAGUGAUUGAUUGAUAAUUGAUUUACGCCACAUCUGCACAAAAAGGCUUUAUCACGGCUCAUAAAUCGAGGUUUGAAAGAUACUCUCAAAUAACAAAUUUUAAAUUGUGAAUUUAUUGUUACCAGUAAUAUAUUUUAAUUGUUUUGUCUUACAUGUUAUAAAUAAAAUUGAGAAAGGAAAUAAGAAUAUCAUCAAGGAAUGUCUUAAGGUGGUACCUAACACUACAGGGAGAUAACUCUGUAAAAUCAGGUAAACGUUUUAAUUACGUUGUGUUGUUAAGGGAAUAUUAAGCUUCUCAAUGAUCAAAAUGAGUGUUUGACAAACUGCUAUAUAACCAGUGUAAUUUUUCUGAUAAAACGGUUGGUUCAAAUUUUUUGUAUUGAUUAUAUUUUUGUAAAAGGGUCAAAGUAAAUACUUUGUAAAAAUUUUAAGAAAAUUAAACGAGCCAAAUUAAUUUUAGUUAAAGUGUUUGGUACCACCUUAAAGAGACAACAACCCACCAAAGAGGAGAAUACAGGCCAAGGCCACCAAUGGGUCUUGAACACAGUUAAAUAUCUUACACAUUGAGGCAGACUUCAGCAGGACCUUAACAAUACUAAUGUAGAAAACAUACAACAUUUACAAAGAUUAAGUAUUGAGAGUUUAUUUGAUAUGGCCUACAUGAAAGGUUUUGUUAUGACAAAAUAAUAGUAUAAAAUACAAAAUACAACCUUGAAAUAAAGCAACAAAAAUGCAUCAACUAUUUGGUUCUUCCAUUUAGUCAUAAUAAUCCGUCGACAACGCUUACUUUUCAUGCAAGCAUAGAAAAGAAAUCGCUCAAAAAUCAUAAACAUAAUCUAAAAAUCAACACAUGUACAGUUAAAUAUCAUAUACAUCACAUGAAAGACAGCUAUGAAGUCUUCAAAUAUGUCAUCACAGAAAAGAACAAAAAAGUCAUAUCGUCGUCGCUGGGCUUCUAAAAUGUUGUAAGUUACAAAUUUUUCAAGAAAAUCUCACAAACAGGCUUUGAAAAUUUUGGCAAAAUGCAUGCUUCCAAAAUGUUGUUUGUAAACUUGAACAUUUUUAUAAAUAGCAGUGAAAUAAAACUUUGAUAUUUCUGGAUAAUCCAAGAACUUAAAUUAUUUUCACAGAAAUAAAGAAAUGUACAAUUAUUUUUUUCUCAAAGCCAUUCAACAACGAUUUUCAAGUUUUCAUACAACAUUUUGGAAGCAAACUUUACAAACAACUGACAUUGGCAAUUUUGUAAUAUGUCUUAUUUCACACAUUUCUAUUGGUCUAACUGCAUGGUAUUUUGUAAUACCAAAGAUUUCCUCCAGCCCAGACCAUUGGUGUCAAAAAGUAUUUUUAGCCAAAAAAGUCAUAUACAACAUUUUAGAAGCCCAGCAACUAUAUGUAGAGGUUUCCCUUUUCAACAAAUCCCCACAUUUUAUUUUAAACUUAACAUUGAUUUGGAAAACUAAACAAUAGCUAUGAAACUCUCUUUUGAGGAUUGGGUGCACAAUACUUCUUGUAUUUUGUAAAUUGAGAAAUCAAGGCCAUGUUUUUAGUAUUGAAAACAUGUGAGAGAACAAACAAAAUAAACUAGAGGCUCUAAAGAGCCUGUGUCGCUCACCUUGGUCUAUGUGCAUAUUAAACAAAGGACACAAAUGGAUUCAUGACAAAAUUGUAUUUUGGUGAUGGUGAUGUGUUUGAAGUUCUUACUUUACUGAACAUUCUUGCUUCUAACAAUUAUAUCUGUAAUGAACUUUGCCCAUUAGGAACAGAGAAAAAUAUUUGGUAAAAAUUUACAUAAAUUUACCAAAUUAAUGAAAAUUGUUAAAAAUUGACUAUAAAGGGCAAUAACUCCUUAAGGGGUCAAUUGACCAUUUAGGUCAUGUGGACUUAUUUGUAGAUCUUACUUUGAUGAACAUUAUCGCUGUUUACAGUUUAUAGCUAUCUAUAAUAGUAUUCAAGAU
rnacentral:lncRNA from 1 species